rnacentral:rRNA from 1 species
AUUGAACGCUGGCGGCAUGCCUUACACAUGCAAGUCGAACGGCAUCGCGGGAAAGCUUGCUUUCCUGGCGGCGAGUGGCGAACGGGUGAGUAACACAUCGGAACGUACCGGCUAGUGGGGAAUAACCCGUCGAAGGACGGCCUAUUCCCCCUUAGCCUCUUCGGGGGAAACCAGGGGACCUUUGGCCCUUGCGCUAGUCGACCGGCCUAUGCCCGCUCAGUUAGUUGGUGGGGUAACGGCCUACAAAGGCGACGAUCGGUAGCGGGGCUGAGAGGACGAUCCGCCACACUGGGACUGAGACACGGCACAGACUCCUACGGGAGGCAGCAGUGGGGAAUCUUGGACAAUGGGGGCAAGCCUGAUCCAGCAAUGCCGCGUGGGUGAAGAAGGCCUGCGGGUUGUAAAGCCCUGUCGGCAGGGAAGAAAACGGCGAGGCGAAUAACCCUGCUGGAUGACGGUACCUGCAGAAGAAGCACCGGCUAACUACGUG